ACCGCUGGGGGCGCCGAAAGGCUGAGAUGGGCAUGUGCCCGGUCCCUUGGAACCUGAAGUGGAUAAUCCCACCGUAGGGAAGCGG
rnacentral:ncRNA from 1 species